UGGGCUGCCAGUGACAUGCUCACUCCCUGUUCCAUAGAUGUUGUCAAGGACUUGAAACAGAUUCACAGGACAAAAGAACAUUGGGAGUAACGCAUCUUGAUUUCUUGGGGUGUUGCCUUGGUGACUCUAGGUACAACAUUUGAAAGAUCCACCAUGAUUCCCAGUCCCACAAGAAUCACCCUCUGUUGAGUCUUAAGGUGCCCAUUAUCAAGAACACUGGCAGCCAAGGACAUACUCUGGAACCACAUCCCCUCCCUUUCUUCCUAAGCCAAGUUUUUCCUCACUGUGGAAAUAUCAAGGUCUCUUGUGCUGGCUAGAAGCUUCCCACCUUAACCCUUCUCU